GGACUGCUGGAGAAGAAAGCUCGAACAACCGGUCACCGAAAUACACAGCUCAGUGUUAGAAAUUAAGCUUGACCAUGCUAUCGUGGAUUUUGGUGAAUAAGAAACUCUACUAACAAGAGAAAGAAUGACAUUACCAACUUACCACUAGAUGAGACGAGUGAAAAAUAGUUGACAACAGACUUGAAGCAAGUCCUAUGGUGGAAUCCAACCUAUUCAAAGCUUGGAAAAGGUGUGGAAUGUCAAGUAUAAUGGAUUUCAAGUUAGAGUUGAGAGAAGAAUAUAAAGUCUAAGUUUGUCGUGUAAUUCGACUAUCUUUUCUCUUAAUCAAAUAUUGAUUCAAACCGUAUUCAGUAAACAUGUCGACAUUCAUUCAUUGAAUGUUAUCAUGGUAUAGACUCAGAAAUCAUGAAUUUCUGAGGGUAUCGAUCCUAUUCCGCUGUUAAGUCUUAAAUUCUUUACCAAUUUCUUCUGCUGCUGUUGUUCUACAUCAUCUUCAAUUACGAUUUAUGGAGUUUGAUUGGAAGAUUCAAGGAGUUCAUAUGAACAAUUGAUACUGGUGAUUUCUUGGUGUGAUUUAGGGAUUUGAUCCUGAUACUUUACUGCAACGUCGUCAAAAAAGAUUAAGCAUGUAUUUUGGAUAUAAAAUUCGUUUUUAGAACUUGAGCUCUUGGUGAUUUUGGAUUUCCAGUUGGUUGUUUGGAUCUGAAAUUUCUCUACCUCAAAAGCUAAAAGUCGAAUCUCUGUUGGAAUAGUAUUUUCUGUGGCUUGCUAUGGUGUUCUCCAAUUAUACUACUUCUCCCACUUCAUGCGCUGGUUUAUCAUCUGGGUCCUGCUAUAAAUCUUAUGUAUGAAGCUGACCAAGCUGCUGCCAGUGAUGUGUCAAUGGUUAUUAAGUGGACAUCUUGGGAUUGUGCCAAUGUUUUUAAUUAUCCUUCCCAAUUCUGCUAUUGGAUGCUAUUGUGUGAGAGUUCUGUUUAGAUGCAAGUUUCUUGCAGCUGGUGUUGAAUUUUUGCAGUCGUAUUGACAUAAUUGGAGAUUCUGGAUAGUUUGGCUCUUGUAUUCAGUUUUCUAUCAUCUACAUUGUUAUCUCAGCAACUGUUGUUACUACAACUUCUACUAUUAUCUACUGCUGCUACAUCAUUGUCUACACACACUGCUGCUGAAUGUAUCAUCUACGUUUGGUUAUGGAUGCUGCUAUUUCAGGAUCAUAUUCAGCUAUCAUCACAUUUGAAGACUUUUUAAUCUCAUAACCUAUGUGUGUAUGUGUAUUGUGCAUUUCUGCAUCAAGUGUGUGUCCUGCAACAUUACAUUUUCUAAUGCAAUAGUCCACUGCUGCUGGUUACAAUAGUUCUUGUCCAUGAUUCUCCCUGUUCAGCUUUGUUCACUACAGUGCAGUUUUCACCUGUGCACCAACUAGUAGCUGCUAACUCAUGCUAUACCAGUUUCAGUACUACAAAAACUGCAGAUACUUAUUCUACAGCUGCGACAACAACUCUCUCUCUCUCUCUUUAUUAUGCUACAAGGUAUAUUUUCCAGUCACAACUCUACUGCAACAUGGUGUUUUUCUUUACUCCAAUAAUUCUUGUUAUGCACAACAUCACUGACUACAUCAACGCCUAUAUCUCAUCUACUUAUGUUGCUAUCGGCAUGAAUUUGUCUAUUCUGUAUCUCAAUUGCCUUUAUCUGUAUACUUCUCAAUCUGGUGUUACUUCUGUCUGUCUAAAGUGUUGUCUGUGUACUGUGUGCAAGUCUUGUGGGAGUCCAAUCUCAAGUGGUCUUCUUACAACCCACUAGAGAUUGAGGGAGGGUAAUAGCAUAAUGCUGUGAGUGUGUGUAUUGUGCAAGUCAUGUAAGAGUUGAGAGAAGAAUAUAAAGUCAUUCAUUCAUUUAAUUCGACUAUCUUUUCGUUUAAUCAAAUAUUGUAAUUCGACUA